AGCUGCGUUCAUCCUGCCCCUGGAGCUGAGCAGGGUGGGUCACAUGGCAGAGCUACUGUCUCAAGCUAACCGAAGGCUCAAGCAGACCUUGCUGCACUGGCUACACCCAAGUACACGACAGGGUUACAAGAUUUUCUUCACAACUACGAGGGCCAGAGAUUUUUUUUCUUCUAAAUGAAAACCGAUGGCACAGCUACACUACACACUGCUGCAGGCACAAGUCACAUCAGCAUAAAGCCGCUGCAGAACGUGUGCUGCUUGUCUGCAUGCACGCUUGGCUCCUUGUGUCGGUGCCGCGCGUGCUCACCAGGAGGGCUUGUGUCAAUACACGUGACCGUCCUACAGGCUGAGUGUCUGCUCCCAGCGGCUGAACACACUGAGAAGCUGCAGCGGAAACUCUGGGUUCUGCUACUGGAACAUAAAAGGCUCAUCAAGAAGGAAGGGCAACAAAAGAAUCUCCAACAGGUGAGGAAAAAUGGCAGCCAACAUCCUUCCCCGAAUGAGACUCCUUGUACACAUGCUCUCUCUUCAUCAGUUCACUGCACCAAAAGGGACAAAGGAAACAGCCACUGACCCAAGAAGUUUGGUCAGUAAGAACUGCUGAGAGCAUGCAAUGAGAAAGCUUUGUUUUGAAUUUAACACAGUUUAAGUUGUGUUUUAGCUUGUUUUUCUUGUAACCAUUUCUGACAUUUAAUGCCUCGUUAAUUGUACUGACUUAAAAAUUUCUCUCUGUAGUUAAUAAACUUGUUUUAUUGUUUGAUCUGAUCCA
rnacentral:lncRNA from 1 species